UACGUAGGUGGCAAGCGUUGUCCGGAUUUACUGGGCGUAAAGGGCGUGCAGGCGGUCCGUUAAGUCUAGGGUGAAAGCUCCCGGCUCAACUGGGAGAGGUCCUUGGAUACUGGCAGACUUGAGGAGAGUAGAGGAGAGUGGAAUUCCCGGUGUAGUGGUGAUAUGCGUAGAUAUCGGGAGGAACACCAGUGGCGAAGGCGGCUCUCUGGGCUCUACCUGACGCUGAGACGCGAAAGCGUGGGGAGCGAGCC
rnacentral:rRNA from 1 species